AUACUUACCUGGCAGGGGAGACACCAUGAUCAAGCAGGUGGUUUUCCCAGGGUGAAGCUCAUCCCUUGCACUCCAGGUGUGCUGACCCUGCAAUUUCCCCGUGUCCUGGGUUCAGCAGUAGCAGUCAUUUUUCUCUUUCUUGGUAGCUGGUGCAGCACUGU
rnacentral:snRNA from 1 species